UUCUAUUCGAACAAGAAUGGUAACUACUUUAGCUGUAAACCCUUUCUGUCAUUCUGUCCUCUGGGGUUUGAAUCCUAUUGUAACCUUUGGUUGAAGGCAUAUUGGUUCUAAAGGAGAAGCUAAAUGUAGGAGGUCCAUAGCAUGGAGUGUAGCAUGGUUCUCGGUCAGAAUGAUGGAUGGACUUCUUACUCGGGAAGAAAAGGCAUAUUUCUCUUCUGUUGAUCUUUUUGUUUUUUGUCUAAACUGGUUAUUGUUGAUUAACCUGUUUAUUCCUUUAUUUUCUCAGGGGUAACACAGAAUUCCAUUUUCUAAUAACCAUUAUUCCAGGUAUGAGCCUAGCUGUCCUACAUGCAAAGAUCAUUCAUACAGCCUAGUUUAUUUAUUUUUCCCUUUUUUCCUAUGACUAUUAGAAAAUGGAUCGAUUAUAAAGUUCUUUAUUUGUUCUUAAAAGUUGACUUCAGUGCAGAGCUAUAAUAAAAUAUUUUAGGAUUAGGGAACCAAAAGGAAAAAAGAAAGGUAUUUGGGGCAUUCCGAGAAUCAAAUUCGGGACCUCUCACACCCAAAGCGAGAAUCAUACCACUAGACCAAAUGCUCAACUUUUGGUAUCUAUUAUGUCUGGUUUUUACUUAUCAAUCUUUUCUCCUAAAAGUCCUAUUAAUUUUCAAUGGACUCACUCUUGGAAGACCUAAAGUUUCCCAGUCUCUCACUUUUUAUGUGGCUCAGUUUAUCAUUAGCCUACUAAAAUUGAUUGGAUGCUAAGGGCUUUUUAAAUUGCAUCAGCAGUUCAGCACCAGGUUAUAACUUUUAUCUAUAUUUUAAACCCAGUAUAUAGUUAUCAAUUCAGAAUAUGGAUCCCCUAGAAAACAUCUAUAGGGUAUGGAUCUCCCAAAUUUUAUAAAUUUCUUUUAACCAUGAAGAGUCUGAUGGGCAAUGGCCAAAUCAAUGAUUUGCUAGUUAUUGUACUCAGAAGCUAGAAUUUUGGGUUUAUACUUGCAAGAAUUAAAAAAGUGAAAUUACUGAACAACUAGGCAGCUAGUAGAAACCUAAUCACUAUUAAUGUCCUAAUAAACUUUUCAAUCUGGUUAUCAAAAUGUUUGUCAUCUUAAUUUAGAUGGUAAAUUUGUUUGGUUAUUCCAUAAGGAUGUAGAUCUGAAUCCUUUCUUCACUAAGGGUAAGAGAGUGGGGGCCGAGGGAAGGGGACAGCUAGCCAGGCUGGUAGUUGGAUCUGGAAAAAAGAAGGGGAAUAAAAUAUGUCUUAGCAGAUAGAGAAGAUAAAAAUUAUCUCAGACGGUGGGGCAUUCCGAGAAUUGAACUCGGGACCUCUCGCACCCUAAGCGAGAAUCAUACCACUAGACCAAAUGCCCACGUUUGCUGUUGUUUAUGAUGUUCAGUACAUUUCAUCAGUCUUUAAUGUCCUAUUAACUCUAAAUGAAAGGAAGUAACAGUUGGGGCAUUCCGAGAAUCGAACUCGGAACCUCUAGCACCCAAAGCGAGAAUCAUACCACUAGACCAAAUGCCCAGUCGUAGUGGAUGUUAUGUUUCAUUAAUAUAACUUCUAUGAAUAGUAAAUUUUCAAGAAAUGGAGCAUUCCUUUAUUUGUUGAUGAGGUCUCUGAUCACAACAGGAUUGUUUUUGAGCAUUUUUGCCAGUGGAAUACAUAGUAAAGUGCUUCAGAGUUGUAUAUAGUACCUACAACCUAAUUUAUUGAGGAUGAAUACAAGUCUUUUAUGCGUGCAAGGGAUGCUAACUACUUUAGCUGUGAAGUCUUUCUGAAAUUUUGUUGAGCUAGCUUGAAUCCUGUUUUGACCUUUGGAUGACGGCUUAUUGGUGAAAGAUAAAAGAGGCUAAAUGGAGGAGGCCCGUAAUAUGGAGGGUGGCUUGGUGAUUGAUCAGAAAGAUAUGAUUGUCAUAGUUCAUACUCAGGAUGAAAAAGGCAUGGUUCUUUUCUUUGGGCCAUUUUUUUUGUCUUUUUGGCUAAAUUGGUUGUUGUUGAUUGACUUUUUAUCCCUUUGUUUUGCAGGGUUAAUUCAGAUUAAAGGUAUGUGGCUGGCUAGCCCAGUUGCAAAGAUAGUACCUACAACCUAAUUUAUUAUUGUUUCUCUUUGUCAGAGGUCUUAAUAGAAAACAGAUCAAUCCAAGUCUAUAAACUUCUCUCUUGUGCACUUAAAGUUGACUUUAGGUUAGAAUAUUUUAGGAUAUGAUAUAGGGAAUCAAAAAGCCAAAGCUAAAAUACUUUGGGUUAGAAAAAAAAGGCAGCAGCAAUGCAUCAAGGCAUUCUGAAAAUCGAGUUCAGAACCUUUUGUAACCAAAGUUAAAAUCAUACCACAAGACCAAAUGCCCAAAUUUUUGUAUUUACAAUUCCUGGUUUAUAACUAUUGGAUCUUUAUCUCAAAGGGCUCCUGUUAAUUUUCAGAGGACUCAUUCCUAGACGACUAUAUAUCAUUUGCCUUGGAUAUCCUUUUUUGGUACAUUACAACUUAGGGGAAGAGGAUUACAUCACAGGCGUUGAGGUAUCGGCUUAACUGCUGCUCUCUUAUGCUGUUGGCCAUUGGUCCUCUAUAAGUGGAUGCUAGAGGAUUUGAAAUUGCAUAAGAAGCUUGAGCUUUCUUCUAUACUGCGAUGCCAUUCUGUAUUUUAUAUUUUAUUGUGAUGCCAAAUUCUUUUAACAAAUGAGGUGUCCGACUGCUAAAUAGAUGGUUUACCAGAACAAUUAGGCAGCUAUGCUGGAAGCUAAUCACAGUAUGUAAUGUUGAAAUAACCCUUUUCAAGUGGAACAUCUGAAGUCUUUGGAUGUUAUUUUUGCUUAUAAAUUGUUUGUCUUUUGCAUAAAGGUAGUGGGGAUUGUGGCCAUGGGGAUAGCUAGCCCC
rnacentral:lncRNA from 1 species